rnacentral:lncRNA from 1 species
UCAGACUCUUGUCUUGGCGUCCUUCUUCUCGUCCCUUGUCCCCCAUUCUCUUCCAGAUACCCCCCCGGAUCCUUUGCUUACAGGCAAGAGGAUCAGCAUUUCAGAAUCAGCUUCAGCUACAAAGUGAACUUGAGACCAGUCUGGGCAAUAUGAGACCCUGUCUCAGAACACACAUCAGCGCAAGGCAGAAUUGUUGCGCUUCCCCAACACUUAUUCAGUAUUUUCAAUACCUUUCUGCAUCAGUCUUACAGUAAGAAAUGAAGGCAGUCGUGCCUAGACCCAGUACUGCCAAGGAGCUUGUAGUUUAAUGAAGGAUACCACGAAACGAAAGAAACUGGAGGCGUGUAUUAUAGUUCCAACAGGGACUAGCUUGGGUGCUGGGAGCCAACCAGAGGACUGGGACUCAGCUCAGUGCACACUGUGCUCUCCUCAUCAGCACCAGGCUAAAUAUCCAAGAAGAGGCAUCUGUGUCACACACAGUAUAAGUGAGCAGGGGGCAGAAAGACAGGGUAUGGAGGUAUUUGCUCCCAAAAGAAAGAUGGAAUCACACCUCUAGUUCAUCAGGGCCGGAAAGGCAGCAGGAAUUGAAGCUGGCCGUACUGCACCUGCAAUCAAAUAUCAGAGGACGGGCUGGGAAGACGGCUCAGCAGGU